AUGGCUCUUCCUCAGGGUCUAUUGACAUUCAGGGAUGUGGCCAUAGAAUUAUCUCAGGAGAAGUGGAAAUGCCUGAACCCUGCCCAGAGGACUUUAUACAGAGACGUGAUGUUGGAGAAUUAUAGGAACCUGAUCUCCCCGGAUAUCUCUUCCAAAUGCAUGAUGAAGAAGUUGUGAUCAACAGGGCAAGGCAAUACAGAAGUGUUCCACAUAGGCACAUUGUAAAGACUUGCAAGUCAUCACAUUGGAGAUUUUUGCUUCCAGGAAAUUGAGAAAGAUAUUCAUGACUUUGUGUUUCAGUGGCAAGAAGAUGAAAGAAAUGGCCAGGAAGCACCCAUGACAGAAAUAAAAAAGUUGAUGGGUAGUACAGACCAAUAUGAUCAAAGGUAUGCUGGAAACAAGCCUAUUAAAGAUCAGCUUGGAUCAAGCUUUCAUUCUCAUCUGACUGAAAUGCACACAUUUCAGCCUGAAAGGAAAAUUGGUAAUCAAGUUGAGAAGUCUAUCAACGAUGCUUUCUCAGUUUCAGCAUCCCAAAGAAUUUCUUGUAGGCCCCAAACCCAUAUUUCUAAUAAGUAUGGGAAUAAUUCCCCCCAUUCUUCAUUACUCACACAAAAACAGGAAGUACACAUGAGAGAAAAAUCUUUCCAAUGUAAUGAGACUGGCAAAGCCUUUAAUUGUAGCUCACUC
rnacentral:lncRNA from 1 species